GAGUUUGAUCCUGGCUCAGAACGAACGCUGGCGGCGUGCUUAACACAUGCAAGUCAGGGAGAAAGUCUCUUCGGGGAUGAUUAAACCGGCGCACGGGUGAGUAACACGUGAGUGACCUGCCUUUUAGACUGGAACAACUUACCGAAAGGUGAGCUAAUGCCGGAUGAGUUAUAUAAGUGCAUGUUUAUAUAGGAAAAGUUGGGGAGACCUGACGCUGAAAGAUGGACUCGCGUCCCAUUAGCUAGUUGGUAGGGUAAUGGCCUACCAAGGCGACGAUGGGUAGCCGGCCUGAGAGGGUGGCCGGCCACACUGGGACUGAGACACGGCCCAGACUCCUACGGGAGGCAGCAGUGGGGAAUUUUGCGCAAUGCUCGUAAGAGUGACGCAGCGACGCCGCGUGAAUGACGAAGGCCUUCGGGUCGUAAAGUUCUUUCGACAGGGAAGAAAAUGCCUAUAAGUAACUGUGUAUGUAUUGACGGUACCUGUAUGAGCAGCCCCGGCUAACUCCGUGCCAGCAGCCGCGGUAAUACGGAGGGGGCGAGCGUUGUUCGGAGUGACUGGGCGUAGAGAGCACGUAGGCGGUGUUGUAAGUCAUUAGUCAAAGACUAGAGCUCAACUUUAGUAAGGCUAGUGAUACUAUAAUACUAGAGUAUCAG
rnacentral:rRNA from 1 species